AACUUGGGCCACGCCACCUCGCUCGAAGCUUAAAUCUAGAAAGCUCAAACUGGAAGCCAUAAGCUUCAAAAUUCGCACAACGGCGAAUUAACGUCAAUGCACAAGCCUGUCAAUCGAUCGCCUCUGCUCUGAGUGCCUUCAGUCUAGAUGCUCACUAAGAAGUAUAGUGCCUGGAGAACAGGUAGUCGUUCAACCAGCUAUGGCAUUUUAGUUCGAUGUGGGUAGGCCGCUUAAGCUUCUGCCAUGAGUGCAUGUGAAGCGGGCACUAGCGGUGCAAAAAUGGUUCUUGCUGAUGGAGGUGUUGUCUGCAUUGAUGAGUUUUACACAAUGCAACCUGAAGACAGAUGCGUGCCUCUUUCCAGGCCUAUUCGUUUUAAAAAUCAAUAGGAUCUACUUUACUUCCGGACCAAGCUUUUGUGUAUCCGUCAUUCUGUACAUGAUAGAUAUAUGGCACAAAUUGUUGUCAUUUAUUCUGUAGAUCAUAUUCUGCAGGGUUGCUAUACACGAAGCCAUGGAGCAGCAAACAAUCUCUGUAGCAAAAGCUGGUAUAACUAAUGUACUGAACCCCCGGACUUCAGUACUAGCAGCUGCUAACCCUCCAUCGGGCCGCUAUGAUGAUCUGAAGACAGCACAAGAAAACAUCGAUUUGCAGAAAACGAUUUUGUCUCGAACAAACUUAAUUUUUAUAGCCAAGGAUGCACGAGAUUAUGCGAGAGACAUGAUUAGCCAUUAUCAUACACUUCUAUUGUGGAAAUUUACCGUUGUAGCUGAUCCAAUUUGCAACAAAACACUCUCGUAAGAAAAAUAACCACAUCGACGAGCUUUGUGUGCAUCCUAGAGAUUAACGUCAUCGACAAUUGGUUUUUUAUUUUUUGAAUCUGCAGCAAAUUGCACGGCAUAUUGUCAAUGUUUAUGCAACUGCUGAUUCAAUUGUAUGAGGCACAAAGGUCCAGGACAAGGAGAAUUGGCUUAGACGGUAUAUUGAAUACUCGAAAUCCCACUGCAGCCCUCGCCUAUCAGAUUCAACGGUGCAACUUCUCCAAAGUAACUAUGUCAAGAUUCGAUAGGUAGUAGAUAUGUGCUCUUUCCGAUGCUAUUCCCAAGUGUUUUUCAAGACACAUGUCGGUAGGUCUCCACCUCUUAUGGUUGCAUAUUCAAAUGGUUUUAUUGGAGGUGUUAAUUUUUAUCCUGGGACUACCUUACAGAAAAUGCGUCAACAAAAUGAUGAGAAUAAAGGCUCACCAGUACCAAUCACCGUUCGGCAACUGGAGGCUAUUAUCCGUAUCAGUGAGUCCUUAGAAAGGAUGCAAUUGUGAGUCCACAUUCCUUCUUCUGUAUCAGUUGGUUUGUCCAGCUGACAGUUCUGACUCAUUAGAUGCCCAUAUAUUUGGUUGAUAUUGCACUGCUAGAUGAUCUUACUUCCUAUCGACUGCCUUGCGGGUCAGAAGUGCCUUGUGUAGACGUUUCUAGACGCUUGGCCUCUGAUGAAGCGCAAUCCAGUGCUGAAGCCCAUCGAUUAGGCUGUGGACAGGACAUGGCAGCGGGGGCGGGGGCGUCCAUCUCGCGCGGGGCCCAGAAACACACGAAAAGCGCUGCGGUUGGGCCCCAGUCAAACUUAAAAAACAAGAAAUAUAUAGCUUGUUAAGAUGAAGGGCAAUUUUACAAUGAGGGGUGGAUUUGUUAUUCUUGAUAUUUCGGCAAAUUUCAGGGGCAUGUAUGAUAUUUUUCCAGAACAAUACCUAGAACCUUGGAAGUCUCUUGUAACACAUUACAUUUACCAUCUACAACUUCAGAAGGAUGGCGAUUGGGGCUGAGACGAAGGAUGGCAUUUCUCGGCCCAUCGCAUCAAACCACAAGGCUUGGAGUUAUGGAAGGCUAUUUGGGACGCAUUGGUCUCAUUGGACGCAUUGGACGCAUUGGUUAGAGAGAGCCUUGUUAAAACACCGUCCAAAACUUCAGCAGAACAGGGUCACCAACUUCUUUACCUGAACCCAGAAAUAUGCACAACAAACCAAAUCAAACUAGGCAAGGAAGGAAAUUCCAAAUACAAAAACUGGUCAAACAAGGAUAUCUUUUGGGUAGGCGACCUAUGGGACACCGGAAGCCAGACAUUCUAAAGUACGAGAAAUAUCGGGCAACAAACAAAAUCAUAGAGGAUCGAGUCGCUGAUGACACAAACACAACAAGACAUCCGGUGGAACUUGAACUGCGAAACUACUCCGGAUGUGGGCGAUUGGAUUACCACAGGCACGGGCGCACCGGUCUUUUACAUCACAGGACGCUCUUUACAAAGCUUGAAGGGCACACAUUAUUAUUACACGAGAGGCACAAGCCUCCUCACGGUAGUCUCACAAGGGACCUCCACACCCAAAUCCGCAAUCCAUGAAGCCAAAGUAGUUAUUAAAUCCCCCUUGGGAAAGUUCAUCGAAUAUAACUCAAAAAAAAGCCCCGAUCCCAGUGUCUCCGUAUAGACGCACCGAGGCAGAGAUGUACAAACUAACAAAUUUGAUCCACUCAAAUGGAACUGGCGGAAGCAAGGCUCACUACAAGAAAAACCCACUAUCCAACUAUACCACAAAACGCGAAUACUGUGUACUCCCCCAAAAGAAAGGGCAUCAACUUGGCUUCAACCACGCAAUGCAACAACAGGGUUUCACACACAACCAAUGUAAAAGCUAUUUUGUGCGGCUAUGGCAUCCAUGGAUGCUUUGCAAAAGCUUAGCCAUGGUUUGGUUGUUACUGGCAGAUAGACUUUCCAUUUGAUCCUGGAAAACUCGUCUCAACAUUCUAGGAUACUGUACUGUGUCCAGGACAGACGCUAGAGACUGCGGAAUACGCAUUUUCACAUAUUCUCUGGUAGCUAUAGCACAGGACCAAUUCACGCUGCUGAAACAGAAGGCGAAUCCGGACAAUUUAAACCUGACAUGGGAGUUUGUAUUACAUGGCAACAUGCACCGACCAACCCCACAAUAUCAACAAGACCAACCCUCCGAUGACUACUCAUGGGACGCCGGCAGCCCAUGCUCGUUAUCUAAACAUAUCCCCAAGGAUAUACUUCGAUGGGCUAUGUUAUGGUAUAUCUGGUAUCAACGAUGCAAACAUGACCUUCGCAACGGCCAGUUCCCCAUUGGAGUUCUAUUAUAUUAGGAAUGGCAAACCAUAGUUCAAGUUGGAAUGGGAGCAUGGGCUGAGCUACAAAAACAUUAAGCUCAACGCUCACAAGACAAACAAGCAGCUACAGAGAACAAAUUCCUGGCCAUAUGGACACAAUUAUUCUUGUUCUGUUCAGGACAAACCAGCCCGUUUUGGAAACGGCAACAACACCCAGAGUUCUUACCACACAUAUUUGCCAAUAGCCUCCACAACACGAGGAACACACCGAGGACACAAGACACCAACAUUACUCGCCAAAUCGACACUUCACCAAGCGCCCCUAAAGCCAUGCGAACUCCAACAAGCACGUCGGUACGACCUUCCCCUUCACCAACAGAACCACGAACCAAUCGUGAGCAACCAGGCACAGAUCGAGAAGAAACAAAUGAUCAACGGGCCCAAGCAAUUGCAGCAGAGAUCCUGGCACACAUAAUCCAGCACAUCCAAAACAAGCCGUCUGUCCACACAAAGACAGCCACGACACAGCAGGACACGCCACAACGACUCCAACAAACACCCUCUCACGAUGAACACAGACUCCCUCCCCUCACAACUCACCCAGGACCCACGCCAAGUCAACGCUCUUGACUCACAAGAACCCCGAUUCUCAAUAAACCAUCCCCAUUCCAUUGGAACAGGUCCCAAGUCCCAAAACCACGAGUUAGGGGACAAUCACGAGUCCCC